GCAGACUUUCAGCCUCCCCUCAAGUAAAUAGAUGGCAUGCUUCUGCCUGCCAGGCCGCUGCUCGGAUCCCAGGGGCCGAUGGCCAGCAACCUUGUGCCAUUAACUCCUGACAGUCUCUGUGAACCAUGGUAGCUCAGGCUCAUCCUAACCGACGUGACCCACUGAUUCAGCACCACCAUUCCCAGUUCCCGUUGGCACUCCCUGGCAACACGGGGCCCUUCCAGCCUCACGUGCUGGGGAGGAGACCAGUCCACAGAGGCAGAAUGCUCGGUCCACGGUGGCUGGAGAGAUCCAGGUGUGGAGGUGGCCAGACCUCCCACACUCCACGCAAGGCCCCUACGAGAGCAUAAGCGGAGCUGAGAGGCAGAAUGAAACAUAAUGAGCAUACACAUGACGUUUUAAAAACUCCAGUUUGGGGACUUUGCCGUUGGCCCAGUGAUUAAGGAUCCACCUUCCAA
ensembl:lncRNA